rnacentral:rRNA from 1 species
UACGGAGGGUGCAAGCGUUGUCCGGAAUCACUGGGCGUAAAGGGCGCGUAGGCGGCUCAUGAAGGCUGUGGUGAAAGUCCGGGGCUCAACCUCGGAUCGGCCGUGGCGACUCGUGGGCUGGAGCACUGUAGAGGCGGGUGGAAUUCCGGGUGUAGCGGUGGAAUGCGUAGAGAUCCGGAAGAACACCAGUGGCGAAGGCGGCCCGCUGGGCAGUGGCUGACGCUGAGGCGCGACAGCGGUGGGGAGCAAACGAGGAUUG